CACCAUACACUACAUGCAUCUUGGUUUUGCAGUAUUUCUAUGAGACUUGAAAGCAGGCUGGAGGGGCCCCCAUGGGGAUUCCUCAGUACUAUGUUUAAAUACCUAAGGCAGAGAAGACUUCUAACACCUUCCCCCAGCUCCUACCAGGGUGCUUGAUGGUCCAUUGUCAGCCUUAUUGUUAGUGUUUGGUAACUGUUCUAAAGACAGAGAGAAGCUGGUGGAUAAAGGAGAAAGUCUUCUCGCAGGAUCUAGUAAUUCCUAACAUGAGACAGUAUCUAUGCUGGAAGCUCAAAUUUCUUAUGACCUUCUCCAGGUUUCCUUCUUCUCUUUCAUUCACAAGGCCUUACACGUUGUAUCUUAGGCACUUACAGCAUUGCUUAAUCAAUAGUCUAUCAGGGCUGAGAAGGGUUUGGAGUCUACAGCUCAUCACAAAGCCUCCAAUAAGCCCCCAAACCAAAAUUUGCUCUCUCCCGUGUCUUUUCUGCCCCUUAGAUGUUCCUUUGGGAAGUGCUGACCUGCCGAUAGAAGAGAGUUCAGGCCCAUUCCCGCCAGGUUAUCCCAGAAUACAGCCAAAUUAGAGAAACAACAGCUCCUGCCGUCCGCAUCUGAGGGAGAGGCAGAACUGACAGGUCCACAGCCUCUGGAAACCCAACCUAACGCACUGCUUAUCCACGCUCACACACUCUGGUUGGCAUGCGUCCUGCCUGUUUCUAAUGCUGCCCAGAGGGCAAAGAGUUCCUGCAAGCGAUUUCUUAAGUGAGUCAACUGACUGUGCAUAACUGAGAAGUUGCAGGCAUAUCAACCAAGGCAGCCUCACUUAAAGACCAAGAGCCGUAAUGAGAAUAGACCAGGAUUAGUCUCUGCUCAAUUUCCAAGGACAAAGAGCAAUGGUCUCACAGCCGCCAGUGAGCCCUGCAGAUGCCAAAGGCUUGGCAUGGGCCUAGGUUCAAUUGUUUCUAGGGAGAACAGGAAAUAUUUAUUUAGGAUUAGAGGCAGCUGCUUCAACAGAACAGCUUGAGGUGCUGGAAGAUACAAUUAAGAAAAUUGUAUGAGGGAGGUCUGGAAAGAGACCAGGAGGCGGGG
rnacentral:lncRNA from 1 species